AAGAGCACCUGUCGGGGAAGGUAAAAACCUUCGACAGAUGGUUCGGGUCGAGCGCAAGCGAGACAACGUUGCCAGAGGCAACGGCCCGAAAGGUGAGGAAUGAAGUGACGAAUAAUCCUUCCCCCACCACCA
rnacentral:sRNA from 1 species